CAUGCAAGUCGAGCGAGAAGUUUCCUUCGGGAAAUGGAUAGCGGCGCACGGGUGAGUAACACGUAGAUAACCUACCCUGAAGUUUGGGAUAACUCUUCGAAAGAGGGGCUAAUACCGGAUAACAAUGGAAACCUAGUGGUUUCUAUUUGAAAGAUUUAUCGCUUCAGGAUGGGUCUGCGCACCAUUAGCUUGUUGGUAGGGUAACGGCCUACCAAGGCAUCGAUGGUUAGCGGGUCUGAGAGGAUGAUCCGCCACACUGGAACUGAGACACGGUCCAGACUCCUACGGGAGGCAGCAGUGGGGAAUUUUGCGCAAUGGACGAAAGUCUGACGCAGCAAUACCGCGUGAGUGAAGAAGGCCCUUGGGUCGUAAAGCUCUUUGUCUAAGGGAAGAUAAUGACUGUACCUUAGGAAUAAGCACCGGCUAACUCCGUGCCAGCAGCCGCGGUAAUACGGAGGGUGCAAGCGUUGUUCGGAUUUACUGGGCGUAAAGGGUGCGUAGGCGGCCAGAUAAGCUAGAGGUGAAAUCCCGGGGCUCAACCCCGGAACUGCUUCUAGAACUGUUUGGCUAGAGAUAGGCAGAGGCAGGUGGAAUUCCAGGUGUAGAGGUGAAAUUCGUAGAUAUCUGGAGGAACACCGGUGGCGAAGGCGGCCUGCUGGGCCUUAUCUGACGCUAAGGCACGAAAGCGUGGGGAGCAAACAGGAUUAGAUACCCUGGUAGUCCACGCCGUAAACGAUGAAUACCAGCUGUUUGAAGGUUCGACCCUUCAAGUGGCGCAGCUAACGCGAUGAGUAUUCCGCCUGGGAAGUACGG
rnacentral:rRNA from 1 species